rnacentral:piRNA from 1 species
UGCCCAGGAACGUGCAAAGACUUUAUAGGG